rnacentral:misc_RNA from 1 species
GAUGAAGAACGUAGCGAAAUGCGAUAAGUAAUGUGAAUUGCAGAAUUCAGUGAAUCAUCGAAUCUUUGAACGCACAUUGCGCCCGUUAGCAUUCUAGCGGGCAUGCCUGUCCGAGCGUCAUUUCAACCCUCAGGGUCCCCGUUCCGGCGGGGAACCUGGUGUUGGGGAUCGGCCCGCCCCGUGCGGCGCCGUCCCCCAAAUUCAGUGGCGGUCUCGCUGCAGCCUCCCCUGCGUAGUAGUUACAACCUCGCAUCGGAGCUCAGCGCGGCCACGCCGUAAAACCCCCGACUUUCUGAACGUUGACCUCGGAUCAGGUAGGAAUACCCGCUGAACUUAAGCAUAUCAAUAACGGAGGA